rnacentral:rRNA from 1 species
GACGAACGCUGGCGGCGUGCUUAACACAUGCAAGUCGAACGGAAAGGCCCUGCUUUUGUGGGGUGCUCGAGUGGCGAACGGGUGAGUAACACGUGAGUAAACUGCCCUUGACUUUGGGAUAACUUUAGGAAACUGGGGCUAAUACCGGAUAGGAGCUCCUGCUGCAUGGUGGGGGUUGGAAAGUUUCGGCGGUGGGGGAUGGACUCGCGGCUUAUCAGCUUGUUGGUGGGGUAGUGGAGUACCAAGGCUUUGACGGGUAGCCGGCCUGAGAGGGUGACCGGCCUCAUUGCGACUGCGAUACGCCCCAGACUCCUACCGGCGGCAGCAGUCGAGAAUAUUGCACAAUGGGCGGAAGCCUGAUGCAGCGACGCCGCGUGCGUGAUGACGGCCUUCGGGUUGUAAACCGAUUUCGCCUGUGACGAAGCGUGAUUGACGGUAAUGGGUAAAAAAGCACCGGCUAACUACGUG